AAAAAGUCCUUUAAACAC
rnacentral:tRNA from 1 species